AGCCAGCACAGUCCCUGCCCCCGUGCAGGGCUUCCAGUAAUUAUCCUCGUCCAGUUCCCAGUCCCAAGGCUGAAAAUUUCCCAGAGGAAACGGUGUUAAGGGAACAAUGAGCAGGAACUGUGGGGAGCAGCUUUUCUAUCAGGGUCAAAAUAAUAAAUAGUCUAUAAUGUGUCUUUUUUACAUAAACGCAGCCUGCUUUGGUGCUUCUGGUGACAGUUUUUGCAGACAAAUGUGCAAAACUGUGCUGAGAGCAUGAUGUCGGGCCAAUGAUCCUGAUGUGAGAGAGGGGGGAAACUAUCAGCGGAUGUUUUCAGGACAGGGGAAGUGUUUCCCCGUCUGUCUAAUGAGGAUACAGAAAUUCCCAAGGUCAUAUCCUUUUUGGAUUGUUAUGUUAAGACAAUAGUUUAUUUUAUAUAUAUGAUGUAGGCCUGAUACUCUUGCACUUGCAGUGCUAUGCUCAGGAAAACCUUUUUUUUGACAGCCAGGUGUGAUUAUUGAGGUGUUAUCUUACUGAGCUACAAGAACAUUUUUGUAUAAUCUCAUUUACUGUAAGAUUUGUGCUUCUAUGGGAUAAGUCUGUCACAAUGAGAAAAAAUGGAACAGUUGUAGUGGUGAGAUUGAUCUGGAGCGUCCUCUUGUGGUAUAAUGUGAGAAAUUACUCUGUAAGCUGAAGACCUCUGCAGAAAUGCACACAAAGUAAAUUGUGUGCUGUUUUUCUUCCAUUAGUAGUAAGUGGUGCAGAGAGUGGUCGGGAUUAUCUGUGAUAGAAGGAUCCUGAAAAGAGUCCAGGUUGAUGCUGCUGUCCUAGCAGACAAAGGACACUAAAUCUGCAUCAUUUUGCUGCACACAUUCAAGCAUCUCAGCUUCCUUAGGCGAUAGGCCAUGCUCAUAUCUUUCUUGUGUACAGCAUCUGUGUUGGUCUUCCAGUUCAGCCUAUUGCCAGUGUGGAUGCGUAGGUGCCUGUACUCCCUGCAACUCAUCACCAUCCUGUCCCAGGAUAGACACGGGUCAUGAAGUCAAUCGUCAUCUCUCCGCUCUUAUUUACUUCCAGAAGCAGAGUCAUCAGAGUAUUUCUGUAGGUGCCGUGACCCGGAGUUGUACUGACAAUCUGAGGUGUACGAGGUGAACAGGAAUGGAGAAAGCACGAUCCCCUGUGGGGCCCUGCACAUCACCUAACCAGGCAGAGCACUGCCCAAUCUCACAGACUGUCAGCCUCACUUCUUCAAAGGGAUAAAAAAGGUGAAAGAGAGAAGUAAGACAACAGAGACGAUAGAAGAGAGCAGAGCUGGAAGGGCUCGUCUAUGCUAUAAAUGGGUACUACUUGUAACAAAGUAAGAAAGUGACGAUCACAAAGUGCCUUACAGUAGAAAUGUGAAAAAAAACAGAGCAUUAAAAAAAGAGUUGACUAAAUACAAAAAUUUUUCAGCAUGUACCACAGAGAUAUACCAUCAAUCUAUGCUCUC